UACGGAUGACACGAAGCCUGAUCCGCAUGCCGCGUGAGUGAAGAAGCCUUCGGGUUGUAAAGCUCUUUUGUCAGGGAAGAAACGGUGGUCUCUAAUACAGAUUGCUAAUGACGGUACCUGAACAGUAAGCACCGGCUAACUACAUGCCAGCAGCCGCGAUAAUAG
rnacentral:rRNA from 1 species